AAGAGGAGGUGCUAUGUGCCAUGCGGGCACAUAUUGGAAUGCGCCGACGAACUGCCGCCGACCGUAAGGGAGGGGGCGAUACAAGAA
rnacentral:sRNA from 12 species